rnacentral:rRNA from 1 species
UACGGAGGGUCCAAGCGUUAAUCGGAAUUACUGGGCGUAAAGCGCGCGUAGGCGGCUUAGUCAGUCGGAUGUGAAAGCCCCGGGCUUAACCUGGGAAUUGCAUUCGAUACUGCUGAGCUAGAGUAUGGGAGAGGGAAGUGGAAUUUCAGGUGUAGCGGUGAAAUGCGUAGAUAUCUGAAGGAACACCAGUGGCGAAGGCGACUUCCUGGCCCAAAACUGACGCUGAGGUGCGAAAGCGUGGGUAGCGAACAGG